AGCGAGGAAAAGCCAAGAGAGCGUCGUGCAUGCACGAACGCUCUCGAGGCCUUGACGAGCGUCCAAACAUGAGGAUGCAGCCGUUUUGCGCGCUCUUUUUGCGCAAAACGAGCGGAAUCCGAAUGUUUGGAGCAUUGCGGGAGCGCCAGAGCGCGGAGCAAUGCGUGUU
rnacentral:sRNA from 1 species